CAGGCGUGAGCCACCAUACCCGGCCGGAAUGAACACUCUUAAUCAUAGGCAUCCUUGCCCUCAUCAAACUCAAGAUUGUUUACUGUUUGUCAUUAUAAUUUUGAUUAAUGUCAUGAAAAGGGAUGCAUGGAGUAUUCUAGGAAUAUAGCAGGGACCCAUUGAAGGUUUCAGGGAAAACCUGAAGGCAAUGAUGUUUAAGAUGAGACAAGAAAGUAAAAGUAAAGUAGAUAAAAUGAAAGAAUGAGGGAGAAAGUGUGUUUUGGGGAGGGGAGGUGAUUAAGUAUCUUCUGCCGAAAAGGAAGCCAUGUUUGCAACUAAAGGCAAGAUUAAAAGUCAUGGCUGGUGCAGAGAGCACUGGGGAAAAGUGUUGCAGAUAUGACGCUAGAAAGAAGUCACGUCUUGGAAGGUCUGGCAAGUCAUUUUAAGGACUUAUAAGUCUUACAUGAAGGUGAAUGGAAAACAUCGAAGAGGUUUGACAUGGCUCUUCAAGAAGAUGAUUUUGGCAGCAGUGUAUAGGUAGAAAAAUAGGAGGACAGUAGGUAAGUUAAGAUAUUGCACUUAAGUGAGAUCCAAAGAGGGUCUAAGCUACAGUGUUAGCAGAGGACAUUGAAAAGAGGGAUAUAUGACAAAAAUUACAGGGUGUUUGUACCACCUGGCCCUUUUGAGUUGGUGUGAUCCAUCUAUGCCUACACCUUCUUGGCCUUUCAAGUCAAGUAUCACAGGCUCCCUGGUCUAGGCAAUCUCUUCAGAUUCCUCCUUCUGUUAUCCAGUCUGGUCCCAGAUAUUAAGAUUGUCUGCCUGGCUGGAACCUUUGGGUUCUUAUCCUAAACUACCUCUCCUCUGGCUUAUAUCAGACUCUUCUACACGUUGGACCUCAGCUGUCCUAUUUGAUGGGCCUUCUGGGACCCUUUCAGAGGGAGGGAUCUAGACAGAAGGAGAAUCUGAACAAUUUGGUACUUUUCAAAUUGUGAAGGAGUGGGAUGUGAAGAGAAGAAUUAGAUGGUAACUCCAAGGUUUAGAGUUUGAAUUACUAGAACGAAUAAAUGCAUUUUUACUGUAAGCCUUCAUAAAACAGAUUCAAAUACAGCUUUUACUUGGCUACUUUGGAUUUGUCUAAAAUCGAUUUUUAUUUAUGUAAUUCCUCUGAUGGAAAUAUUAUAUGUAGAGAGUGUGAUCAAGAGUCCGCCAUCUAAACAGGAAGCCAUGUUUGAAAGUAGAGGCAAGAUAGCAUUUUGGGAAAUUGAAUCAUUAUGCCUGGUGCAGAGAAAACUGGGGGAAAGUGGUUGAGAUGUGAGGCACUGAGUAAAUAAUGUCUGUAAUUCUGACCUCAAGCUUUUAUUCUAAAUUACACUCUUUUUUUUUUUUUUUUUUUUGCCCCGAGACGGAGUUUUGCUCUUUUUGCCCAGGCUGGAGUGCAAUGGCACAAUCUCGGCUUGCUGCAACCUCCGCCUCCUGGGUUCAAGCGAUUCUUCUGCCUCAGCCUCUCAAGUAGCUGGGAUUACAGACAUGUGCCACCAAGCCUGGCUAAUUUUUUAUAUUUUUAGUAGAGACGAGAUUUCACCAUGUUGGCCAGGCUGGUCUCGAACUCCUGACCUCAGGUGAUCUCCCCGCCUUGGCCUCCCAAAGUGCUGGGAUUAUAGGCAUGAACCACCGUUCCCGGCCCUAAAUUACACUCUUCAUAGUUCACAUUCAAUAUAUAUGACUGAUGUGGCAAAGUCACAUAUUAUUGCUUUCUUCAUCUUCCUUUUUUGUGGCAGUUGGCUGCAUUAUUAUUUUUUAAAUAAACAGCUUUUGCCAGAGAGACUUGAUCCAAGGAAACAGCAAAGCAGAUAGGACCAGUUUGUUGAAGUGAGUUUGGUUCCUAUAACUUCAUUAAUUGGAUGUGUCAGCAUUUUGAAGUCUUCCAGGAAGAAUCUACAUGGUUUAAAAUGCAAAUGUACUUUAAUUCACAGGCUUAAAGAGGUUCUGUAUUUGGAGACAUUUCUGAUGAUCGUUUGACAUCUUUCUAUUGAAAUAGCUCUAGUCAACUGGAUAAGGAGAUCAGGGCCUGAACUGUAAGCCCAUGAAAUGUUUAUUUACAGACAAACCAAAUACAGCUUAUAUAUCCUUUUAGAGGCAACAUGAAAAAUGCAAUCCAGUAAGAAUCACUGUCUUGUUUUAGGAAUUUUGAGGUAAAGAUUGUUGUGUCAUGUUAAUUAAUUGCCAGUUGAGCCAGGAGUUUUGAAAUAAUGCUUUCACAGGCUUUGGACUCAAUAAUUUAAAUUUUGGGCUGUAAGUCAGCCGCUUGCAUGGACUGUUUAAUGUCCUUUACACACAACCAGUGGGGUAUGUAUUAUAUCUAUUAUGGAGAUUUAGAUCUUCUGACUGUUGAAGCUAGAAAACAACAAAGCAUUUUUAGUCUGGUCAGCGUAAUUUUUUAGGGAAUAUUUACUGCAUUGCGUCAUAUUAAGUUUUAUGGUAAAUAUGGCAGUUCUCACUUGUUUGCUUUUAUUCUCCUCUCUUCAGAUUGGCCUGUUACCCUUCUGGGAGCCAGGAGAUUAAUGCAGGCCCCUUCUCUUACAUUCCCUUCUUUGUUUCCUUUUAUUUGUUUACUUUGUUUGAAUUAGGCUGCCUCAUCUACUUUUAGAUUUUAAGUCCCCUAGAGGCAGGGAUUGUGUCUAGGUUGGUUUUAUGGAGAACACUCAGCAUAUUGUGGGGGUGUUAUAAACAUGCCAUCUGUGGCAAUUUAAAAUUCAGUUUCAGACCUUUCAGUACUUUUCUUUGUGUCUCGUUGUUUAUAGAAAUCUGAACUAGAAUAGAGGUGCUUAGCAAUGUAAGGCUAUAUAAAUCCAUUAAAUAUACAUUUUUGUGGCUUUAUUGUAAGUGCUUUUAUAGUUCUAGUCAUGAUAUAAAGGCACUAUCCUUUAAUUUACUGAUCAUUAAUAUCUUAUAUUUUUAUUUUAAAAUUUAGAUACUUCUAGCUAGUUUUUUUAUUUGAAUAUUAAUCACAUUAGAAUAGAAAAUUGCUUCAUUGGCACAGACUACUUUUUUGUGGAACAUACUUUCACCAGUUUGAUGAUAUUUAUUGCUUGAUCUGUUUAGGUAUAGGGUUGACUUGUUCUAAGCUUAUUUUUGUCUCAAAGGGGAAGAAGGAAAUAGAAUCAACAAUGCAUUUCAAUUUUAGAUUAAAAGUCACUGGAAAUGAAACCGAAAUACACAAAAUAUAUGUAUACUCACACAGUGUGCUUCUAUAAUGAAUUCUUUUCAUAUACAGAUUUAUUACUAGUCUUAUUAUUUGAUAGCCAUCUUUUCCAUUAUAUGAAUUCUAUAGAUCCUUGCCCUUUUUUUUAUGUUAUCAUUAUGUUAUUCGUUGUGGCAAAAUACAUUUUAAAAGUUACAAUGUAAACUUUUUGUUUCAGUUAUACAGACAUAAGUAUACAGCUUGACCAAUUUUUACAAAGUGAACAAACCUGUGAAACCAGCACCCAGCUCAAGAAAUAGUAUUACAAGGACCCUAGAAACCCUUUCUUCUCCCUUCUUAGCUUUACCUCUGUCGUCAAGUUAUUACCAAAUUUCCCUCCAAAAGACUGUAUCAACUUAUCCUCCCUCCAACAGUGAGUGACAUGCUUAUUUCCCAACAAAGCUGUGGAUGGAAGUAUUGUAAUUGACAAUGGUUUGGUCCAGGUAUGGUCUUGUGGGUGCUUAACUAUACAUUGCUCGCUCUCUUUUUUCCUACAAAUCAUUGCUUUGCUUUUGUAACACACAUAUGUAGAUAAAAUACUUAAUGAAAAUAUUGAAUGCUUUUAAAUCCUUUGUCUUUGAGAUCUUUUAAUGCAGCAUGUGAUAAAGACAAAAGCAUGGCCAUGAAGAGUUCUUGGCAGGAAGCCUGGGGGGCUUAUGAAAUCGUUAUUGGGAGGCUAUUUAUAGGGUGCAUCUUAGAUUUCUAGGUAGUGGUGGAAUAGGAAGAAAUAUUCAAGAAGUGGGAAUCUGGGGUAUAUAAAUUGUUCUCAAGAGGGACUUCUAUUAGAGUGAGGAAUGUGGAGUUAAGUCCUGGCUCUUCAGAGGUUCCUAUGGUCUUGAGCAAGUUGUCUAAUUCAGUGUUAAUUCUUACUUGGUGAGUAGGGGAGAAGGGCAAGGGAAGAGAGUACUAAUCCUAACAUAUCCGUUUGGAAUAACAUAAAAAUCCUUAAAUUAUCUUUAAUACCCCAUAUGUAGUAGUGGUGCUAAAAGCAGAUAACUAAGAAUGUCAGUUAUAGCAGAGAAAGCAUAGAUCAGGUAGUAAGGCAGUUCCAGAAAAACUUAGAGUAAUCUAAAUCAAAAGAAAGAAUUCAACAAAUAAAAGUGAUCCUUGAUUUUGUCUGUCAUCUAAAAGUACACUGGCUGCUGCACAGACUAAGCAAAAAAAGUGGGGUUUUUGUUUGUCUAGUUGUAGUUUCUAUUUGUUUUAUAUUUUCACCUCAUUAACACAUCUCAAAAUUUUCCAAAAUAUCUUCAUUUUUCUUUUUUCAAAUUUAAAGUCUGUAUUUUUGUGGACCAGAGUGGGAAUGUGUUGUACCUUUUGUUUUCUGUAGGUCAUUCUAUCUGCACAUACGCAUCCUAGUUUCAGUUACGUAUUUCUGAAAAAAUAACAGGACGUAUUUCCAGACACAUGGAUUGACAAAGGGAUAGAACAUUAGGAAUCUAGACCCUCCUAAAAAGUGUAGGUUAUGUAAGUCUCCUCCCCAAAGCAUUACUGUAAUUAUUUGUGACAAAUAAUGAUCCAUGUGAAUAUUAAGGAUGUUUGAUAUACUAUCAGCUGCCUCUUUCCUAUGUGGAUGAGCUGUAAUAAAGUGACAGCUUAAGAACUCGGCCUUUUCAGGUGUGUGUUAGAUUUUCUCUCUCUUCCUUAGCCCUAACUUCUAACAGAGGAGGUAGAAUUAGUGCAUCAAAAAUAAUAAUAAUAACAAGAUAACCUUUGUUUUUAUAUAUAAUAUAAUAUUUUAAAGGGUUUUGAAGAACAGCCUGACAUGUGAAAUUUGAAUAUGGUUCAAGGCUGUUCCAACUAAAAUAAGGUUUUCAUUUUUCUUGUUAAUAAAGAAAAUCAGUAUGUAUUUGUGCAUAUGUAUGAUUUAUUCACAUACACAUUAUCUCUGUAAAAUAUGUACAUGCAAGUCAUUAACAAUUUUUUAAAACUACAGAGACUAUCAUUUUCUGAUUAACUAGUUUGCUAGUUAAAAUGAGGGCAAAGAAGUCCCAUUUACACUAAUGUUUAGAAAAUUCAACAUGAUGAAUAAUUACAGAGGCAAUCUCCUAAAAGCCCAAAUUAGAAAACUGUUACAAGGCACAGCCCUUCUAAAAUGGGGCUGUGAUUUGGGAACUGUUCCUCCCUCAGUCAUUUAAACUAUUUUAAUAAUUGUAUUCUGCUGCUAGAGAAUUGGAAGGCUGUCAGUUCCCUUUAUUUGAAUGCUUACUAUGUGCCAGAGACUGUGCUGUACACUUGACAUGUAUCAUUUCACUUGGUUGUCAUAGAAACUGUGGAUGGAGGUAGUGCCACUUGAAAACUGAGCUUUGGAGAGAGAAAAAAAGAUUUUUCCCAAGAUCAUGUGGGAAGUGAGUGGUGGCACCCAGACUUGAACUUCAAAGCCUUGCUGCUUUUACCCAGCAUAGUUAAGUCAAAGUCUGAAAUCUGUUUCCUUAUUGCUUUUUCUUUUUCUUUUUUUUUUUAAAUGCGGUCUUGCUCUGUCACCCAGGCUGGAGUGCAGAGGCCCAAUCAUAGUUUACUGCAGCCUCGAACUCCUGGGUUCAGGCGACCCUCCUGCCUCAGCCUCCCAAGUAAUUGGAAUUACAGGCAUGAAUCAGCCUGCUUGGUCCGUUAUUGCUUAACUGUAACAUGGACCAAAGAAGCAGCUAACCCUGUUAGUUAAUUCUUACUAGGAAGAGAAACCGCACCAGCUAUUUAAAAAAAAAAAAAAAAAAA
rnacentral:lncRNA from 1 species